rnacentral:rRNA from 1 species
AGCGAACGCUGGCGGCAGGCUUAACACAUGCAAGUCGAGCGGGCAUCCUUGUGGUGUCAGCGGCAGACGGGUGAGUAACGCGUGGGAACGUGCCCUUCGGUUCGGAAUAACUCAGGGAAACUUGAGCUAAUACCGGAUACGUGCGAGAGCAGAAAGGUUUAUCUGCCGAAGGAUCGGCCCGCGUCUGAUUAGCUAGUUGGUGAGGUUAUGGCUCACCAAGGCGACGAUCAGUAGCUGGUCUGAGAGGAUGAUCAGCCACACUUGGACUGAGACACGGCCCCGACUCCUACGGGAGGCAGCAGUGGGGAAUAUUGGACAAUGGGGGCAACCCUGAUCCAGCCAUGCCGCGUGAGUGAUGACGGCCUUAGGGUUGUAAAGCUCUUUUCUUCGGGACGAUAAUGACGGUACCGGAGGAAUAAGCCCCGGCUAACUUCGUG